GACAGUUUUUUUUUUUUAAUUUAAAUAAUUCUCUGUGGCUCUGUCUCUGUCUCUGUCUGUCUGUUACUCUCUCCUCUUUCCAUUCUCAGAACAUUAAAAGUCCCGCCGGUUGUAGAAAGGACUAUAUUUGAGAUCUGCGUUUUGUUUUUUUUUUGUUUGUUUGUUUGUUUUUUUGUCGAAAGGGAGGGGGAGAUCCAUGGUUUUGCUAAUAACUGACCCGGGAAAGGGUCGGAGGAAGGAGAAACUACUUCAUUUCGUAAUUGUGACUUUCUUUUGAUAAAGUUAAAGGGAGAAGAAAAUCAACUGUAUUCAUCCCCAUUCUGGUUUGACUGCUUCCUGGAAUUCCUCACAACUGUCAUACUUUCGUGCCAGGGUCUGGAAAGCCACCCCACUUUGUGACAACAAGGCAUGUGUCAAACAAUUACAGGAGGAGGGGCAAGGUAGCUCUACUCAAUGGCAAAGUAUCCCCUCCCUUCUCCGUUCAUUCCAGGGCUAUCGGGACUUUGUGUAUAUCAUGUGCACUGGGAGACAUUUAAUGGAACCCUGUCCAAGAGAGAGAAAUUAUAAGUUCAAAUCCAGGCUCCCCCAUUUCCCAUUUGAAUAUAGAAACUAA
rnacentral:lncRNA from 1 species